UUUUAAGAUAUUUUGAGAGGAAAAUCAAGUAUGAGAAGCCUCGACUAUUUUACGAUGGAGUUCACUUUGGAGUUCACUGACUAAUGGUGUUAGCACACAGGGAAGCACAGGCAUUAAGGAAGAGCCCCUCUCUGAGGUAAAGGCUGUACACACUCCAGACGUAGACACUGCUUGAAAGAGACUCACUCAUUAUUUUAGACCGUGUGCUUCCUGAAGACAGGAAUUCCUUCAGUCUUGUUGCCCUCUGAACCCAAAGGUAAUCCCUAGUGAAAACUGAACAAUCAUGGACUGAAUACCUAACUGAAGUCCCUUGUACUAGGGAGGACACACAGCUGGGAGCAAACCCAAAAUCUGACCUUAGGAAACAAAUCAGUAUUUCAGGACCUGGGAAAGGAAGUGCAAUCCUGACUUGUCCUGCUGAGGUAGGAGGUGGGAUUGGGGGAGGUGCACCCUAGCUGUCACAUCUCUGGAAAGGAAGCACAGAGCAGGCUAAUGACUUUCCUUACCCCUGCUGUAAUACUAUUGCCCACCCUAUGGUCUGAAUGUGAGUCUUCUCACUAGAGAGCAGGAGUCACGUGAUUUCAAUAUGACCAUUCAGGAGAGUGCUGGUUGGCUAGCCAGUCUGACUGGCCAAGUUGUGGACAUGUGACCAAUUAAGUCAUAGAUGAGGAGUUACAGUUGGUGCAGGGUGGCUGAGACAGUUGGUAACUGGCCUGCUAUCAUUGAGGUUAAGGUUUCACUCUGGGACUCCAGAGGCAGAGACAGUAUGCUGAGGCAGUGUGUGACACCAUGAUAGGAGGACAGUGGCUCUUGUCUACUCCUCAAACACCCAGCUUCUGGAUCAUCCAAACAUCAUGGAGCCGUUCCACAUCAACCUGAAAACACAUCUUUGUGGCAGGAAUGUGCUGCUGAGGGAGAUCAGCCUCACUGAGAAGGGCGGCUGUCUACAGAAGGGAUACACUCAUCACAUCUUCACCCAGAUGGUGUGUUCAGCUCGCUAACCCACGAGAACAGAAUUGCACACAGAUACAUCAAACUGUAUGUCUUUGGCCUGGCCAUCAAACUCACCACUGGACAGAAGUUCAAGUGUGGUGUGGUACAGUGUGGGGUGUGGUGAUGCCAGAUUCCCAACACAUUAUGUGUAGCAGAGGGGCUCUCCAUCUGGAUCUGAUCAUAGCAUUAUAUUGUCAGGUAGUGUGGGAUGGGGUGGGCAACAGGAUCUGAUCACCUAGAAACUUACAUAUGUGCUGUGCAUACACCUACACCCCAUUAACACCUUAUUUACAUUGUUACUUUGAGGGCAUGUAGGACUCACCUUAUAGAUUUCUAGAUAUCACUCCUGGCUAGGCAGCAUCUUGUAUGCUGCCACAUAUGCAAUGCCAGGUACCAGAUACUCCUAGAUAUCUCUGACUACAUUGCCACUUGAGAUACUGGGAAAGGCAUUAGGUCUGCUGGACAUUCCACCUCCUGUCAUUGACCCUCAUAUCCUGCUAGAUUCAGUUCUCACUGGACACCUCCGCCCUGGCAUACACCCCAGGGGUAUUGCACUGUGAGACAUCACCUGUACAGUGAGGUUCUAGGCAUUGCUGUACCACAGCCCCGUGCCUCAAAUGCAUUCCUAAGUAUUGGGCAAUGCAUGGCUUCCCAGCAAACACCACAUUGACUGGUAGGUAUUUGGCCAUGCUGAACAGACCCCCAACAUCUACAUCACAUAAGUUCUGGAUAUCGGGUCCUAAAUGAUCUCUGACAAACCUCACAAUAACUGACAGUCAUCAGGCCAUGCUGGAUCCUCCCCUCCCCUGUAUGCACAGCACACUGCUGUGUACAGGACCUGCUUGUCAGCCACACACUAACGACGCCCACGUGUACUGCUGGGUGUCAGGACUCUCUUAGACAUGAGCCUCAUCAGCACCUACUACAAUAUAAAUUAUCAGGCAUCCAGCAUGGCGUGAUAAAAGCAGUGUAUUUAAGGCUGUGGAAAUGAGGGAAGUCAAGUGCAGAAUGACCUAGUGCCUAGCAGUUGUCUGUGGUAGUGGAGGUGACAUCCUGGAGGGUUUCAAACCUCAGUGAAUGUGGUGUGGGUGGAGAAUGUCUAGGAGGUUCUGAAAAUGGCAGUGUAUGGGGGUCUUUGUCAGGGGACAAGGUGUGGAGUCUGAUAACUAGGCUGUGCUUUUCAGAUCGCAGCAAGGAAGUAUUCACGUGGUCUCAUGAUGUCUAGUACCCAGUAUCGUAAGUGGUGUAACCCCUCGGAUGUAUUUUUCAGUGGGCCCUGACAUUGCAAAUAUUAUAUGGGGUCCUAGAAGAGUGUGUCCAACCAUGCCUGAAAGUCGUCAUUGUAUGUGGGGCAGCAGCAUGGGAGAGGGGAGCGAGGCUGCUCACAUACAUCGAGCUAUCGACCCUUGAGCAUUUUCCUGGGCACAUACAAACCUCCAGAAUUGGGGUCCUCUCGGGCCCUACCCCACAUAAACUGGACCAUCCCAGACCCUGCUGGAGGCCACUCUGCAGCCUUGUGUACACUGUUAUGAAACAGAUGCUCCUGGGACCCUAGCCAUACUAUAGGACAUUGGGCUGUGUCUCUAACUCUGAAGGACACACUCCCUCACUGUCCUCAUCACCCAUAGAGAUGCUAUGUUUCAGACUCUGCUGGGAACCAUAUUGUGUCUUACCCCACAUACCGAAGUCUCACACCCUAUGAGACCCCACACCUCCCAUUCUCUGCUAGGAAUCAGGCCCUGCUGUUCCGAACUCACACCCUAGGUACACUGCUAAGGUUUAGUCCCGUUAGGCACUUAUCUACCAAACUCAGGGCACUCUGAGGAAUCAGGACACACAGGACACCCCUCUUCCUGCCACCACUGUGCUGUGUACAUUAUCGGGCCCUACUGUACCUACCCCAUACUCACAGUGUGGAGGGACUGGACCUAGCGAUGUAUGCCCCCCUUUCCAGUCUUCGCACACACAUAUCCACACAUCGCAUCUUCUCAAUCCCUGAUGGGCACCUUCCUGCUGUUUCCCUAGAAACUCCUUCCUAUCCAGCCUUCCCCAGCUGCUCAUGUUGUCCCACGUACACUAAUACAUGAGACCCUGUUGGACUCCCUCUAUCUCUGUAGCCACCUCACACGUGCUUCCACUGUCAGAGCAUACUGGGCUUCCCACUGCACAACUCACCCUCUGCUCUGUGUGUGUGUGUGUGUGUGUGUGUGUGUGUGUGUGUGUUGGUAUGUGUGCCCUGCUCGUCCUCAUAUCUACUGGAUCAUGUUGGAUUGGUCAGAAGUAUCUUUCAGACGUGACUUUUGGGCAGUGACCGGGUGCAGGAUGUCCACAUAUGUGCUUGUGCCUUCAAUACUGUCACCCUGAUAUCUGUUCUCUAAGCAGAAGCAAACUUGCUGACAGACACAGUGAGCACAUGGAAGAUGGUGGCACCUGGUGACAUGUUUUGGACAGUCUCUCAGGGACGUAAGGUUGCAAGGAAUGAAUGCAGGCUUGGCUGCAUUGCUGACUUCCCUGGAAAGGAAAAUGCUUCUGUGACCAGGAGGAAGCCACACUUGCUGGCCUUUGCACAAACCGAUCAAUCCUUCACAAUUACUCCUGUAUGCGCAGACUCUGGAGGAGACUUCUGCCACCUCUCUCUGGCCCGUCCCAUAUGGGUAAUGGCAUUUCCUGGCCCAGAAUCCAUUUCUAACAUGGGUUAGGGAAUGCUGUUGAUACAGCUCAGGGCUACUCAGUACUGAGUCAGUGAGGUGUUUUAACCUUUCUGAGAGAGACUCUGUCCUGUGUCUCUCAAAUGAUGGAGGAGAAGAGGCUCAUCUCUGUGGUUGUUGAACCAUGGGAGCAGGGAGUUUCCUGACAAGGACUGAGAGGUUCAGGAAGGAGCCAGGUUCUAGCUUCCUGGGGAUGUGUGUCUGUACACCAUCAGACAGCAAUGAGACUCUGGGUCUGUGUGCUUAUAGGCUUCCUCCAGUGGAUGGAAUUUACCUAUUAGCUCUACGCUCUGUCAGCUUACAGCAGCACCAGCCAUGAUGUCAUGGUCAAACUGGUCAAGCAUGGCACCCUAUCCUAGCUCCUGACUUUGUAUUUGCAACAUGUCCUGGAUCCUUGACCACCAGCAGCAGCACAUGGUGCAACGAACUUCCUAAACAGGAUGUGAAAGUGUUUCCCGCUGAGCCUUGAGACGUGAACAUGCAUCGCGCCUGUCGUCUGGACUGAACAACUUGAGGAAGGGCCAUCCAUAUUCCUGCUCCCUAACCAGGACACUGCUAAGGUGAAUAUGAGGAGUAAGUCCAUCUCUGACUUCUUUUCCCUGAAGGGCUUCACUGCCCUGAAGUCGGCACACCUGUGUAUGCCCUGCCUGUGACAUCAGUGAUGCAGACCAAAUGGAGAGAGCAGCAUGGCCGAUGCCUGCCCUGUGGGCUACACUGAUAGUCUAAGAGCAAGACAAGCACCAAGGGCUGUCAUGGCAGUGAGUCAAAGCCAAAGUAAGCAGAGAUGGAGGAGGAGGAAAGGAGAAACUUGACGGAGUGAGGAGAGCAUUGGCAUUCAUUUUGGAAGGCCAUGCCCACUGCAAUAGUUAAAGCAGAGUAGCUUCUCUCCAGGAGCCUGGACCUAAUGGCAGAAGUUUCGGGUGAUCCCUGAGCAGGCUCCAUGGAGGCAGAGCGUCAUGCUGUGAGUGUGCUCAGUACAGCAGUUCACUAAUCUAAGCUUAAGAACCGUUUAUGUACUCCAGGGCAUGCUCAAUGCGUGUUGAUGCCGCACAUACCUUAAUAAUUUAAAUGACACACAGAGGAGAGGACAUUAUCUUUUAGCAGACUCCACAGGUGCCUGCCUCACAGUGUGACAAAGAAUACUACAGAGUGUGGCUUAGACACCACAGUGGACACUGACUUGUUGCCAGACCUUGGGCACAGGGCACACAUGCAACUGUGUGAGGGUCAAAGCUGUUUCAUGUAGACUGUAUAUCGAAGUGCUGCUGGGAAGCUAUGUACAGUUCAGUCAGUGUUAGCAGGGGUCACGUAUGGAAAGAAUAUAGAAUCACAGAGUUGCUUUUCCUUCCAGCCUUCGUGCCUGGUCUCCUUCAUAUGAGCCGGUGCUUCUUAACCUUUGUAACUCUGCAGCCAUUUAAUGCAGGUAUUCAUGUUGUGGUGACCUCCACACCCCUACACACAACCAUAAAAUUACCUUACUGCUACUUCCAAGCUUCCUAGUUUUCUUUUUUUUUUUUUUGGUUCUUUUUUUCGGAGCUGGGGACCGAACCCAGGGCCUUGCGCUUCCUAGGUAAGCGCUCUACCACUGAGCUAAAUCCCCAGCCCCACUUCCUAGUUUUCUACUGCUAUGAAUAAUAUUGUAACUAUCUGAGAUGCAGGAUAUUUGAUAUAUACACCCCAAAGUGGUCGUGAUCCUCAGAGUGAGGACCAACUCUCAGAGCAGCUCGUGCAGGGCUGUCAGCAUGGCUGAUCCCCUGACACCUGAGAGGGCCUGGUGUCCAAGGGUGGCUCACAGCUCCCU